CGGGGGCUGCGCGCCGGCUGCGCGCCGCCCCGCGCCCGGCCCCGCGCCCGGCCUCUCCCGCCGCCUUCCCUGCCGCCGCGGCCCGGCCUCCCCCGGGCGCCGAGGGCGGGCGGAGGCGCCGCCGCCCUGCCCGGGCGAAGCGCGCCGGCCCCGCCGGGAGCCUCCCUCGGCCGGCAGCCCCGCGGGCCUGGGCCUCCCCGCAGCGCUGCGCCCUCUGCUUCGGCAGCCUGGGCAGGCCGGGCCUCGCGGGCAGGCCGGGCCACACCGGCGGUCGGGGAGGCUGCAGCCGGCAGCUCUUAGCAGUGUCCGAGCGGCUUUCACCGACUUCGUAUCUUUGGUUUUCAUCUCUGGUUUUCAUGCUGUGUUUUGCCAUCAGAGUUGCUGCUGGUCGAUGAUGCUGAUGCCAUUGUGGCCUUUCCUAUACGUGGCCGCUGCCGUUUGCAGCACUUGGUGUUUUCCUGAAGUCCAGUCUUGUUACUAUCAAAGGAUAACGCUGACCCCAAAACAAACAGGAAUAAUCUAGGCUGGAAGUUUAGGGGUUUCACGCUUCAGAACAGUUGCGUUCUGGAACAGCCUCACAGUAGAUGUUGUAGAGGCCAAAGAUGUGACUGUUUUAUCACCGUACCACACUGCUUUGCAAAAGUUACUCCACACUGUGGCUGUCUCUGUUAUCAGGUGUGAUGGCACAGGAGGUUCCUUCUAAUCCUACAUGUCUUUCUGAGAACUCAAAUUUUUUAAAGUGUUUUUUCCAUUUUUUUUCUUGUACAGGCUCCUAUCUAGAAAAAAUGGAGUUGGAAUCGUAACAAUUCAAGACCAAGAAAACAAGGAGAAAGAAAACCUUGCAUUAAUUAGUUAAACUGUUGUGAUUUCCAGACUCAUAUCAAGACUGCUGGCUGAAAUUCAGAAUUUCUGAGUGCUUGGUCUGUCAGUGUUGCCAAAUGUUGCAUUAAAACGUCAAAGUAACACGCAUCCCUUGUAAUUUCUCCCUGUCCCUUCCACCCUCUUGAAAGUUACUGCAUGGGAGGAAGGUACUACUUCAUUUUUCCCGUUUAUCAAGUUGUGUCAUGUUUUGCUCUACCAGGUGUUGCGGAUGUAAUGGCAAAUAACUCCUCUCAGUCAAACUGUGCCUGUGCAUACUGAGUACCGGUUCUGUGCCGCUUCAGGUCCCACUGAGUUUGGUCCUUUAAAACAGUUGAGUUGCCACAGGCACUUUUAAUUCAAAUACAUAAGAUUCUCCAACAGUCAAGGACAAAUGAGGUAAUAGGGCAAGAUCAAAGGCCCAGGUCAUCUUAUGAGCCGCCUUUUAUCUUAAAUCCUCCUACACCGCCUCCCAACUUCCUUUGUUCUAAGCCUUGUCAUAUAGUAAAGUGUAGCAGAAAGUGCCACCUUCGUACUGUCAAAUAAUCACUUAAUAUUUGUUUCUUGCCACAGGUGGACUUGUGUGGGCCUCUCAUGCUUGUGAAAAGACAGAGGGAAAGACAAUGAGGCUGUACUGAUGUACCCUGUGGCUACAAACCAUGUCAGAAGAUCUCAUGGACAACAUGUUGCUCAAAAUCCAUGUCUUCUGAUGGCUACUGACCUAUGAAUAUACACAAUUUGCCAUUUAUUACCCACCAUCCAUACUGGAUACCAGACUUCUUCAGUCUGUGUCUUGUGGUUGUUCCAGGACAGCUCUGGAAUGGAAUAAAUGUGUCCUAACACCCAUAGUCAGGGCCAUACCGUUCUCCCCUUUGUUUUUCUGGAUUUAAUUAAGCCAGUUGGUCACAGAUGCAGUCCUCCAAGCAGCUAGGCAUAAUCCAGACUUGUUUACCUGCCUAGUGGUAUGUGUUAAUUACACCAAGUGAGCCAGUGAUACAUAACAUUUAGAGUAUCGACAUCAUCUGAUUAGUCUAUGUGUUCUGAGUAUUAAACAUUUCAGAAGAA